UUACCUGACUGACAGGGAAGACACCAUGAUCAGAAAGGUGGUUUCCCCAGGGCAAAGCUCAUCCAUUGCAUUUUAAGUGUGCUAGUCCUGUGGUUUUCCCAGAUGUGGGAAACUCAACUGCACAAUUUGUGGUAGUGGAAGACCGUAUUGACACUCUCCCU
ensembl:snRNA U1 U1 spliceosomal RNA